UUUGUGGUGCUUUGUUAAAUGGUAGGAUGUGCAUCGACAUUCAUGACUCGACUUAGAACAAUAAACUAUUGCUUAAGUAUUUUCCUAAUAUGAAGGUUUUAAAAUUGUGGUAUGAUGAGGUGUUCAAUGUACUCGAUAAAUUGGUCUCUUCUGACUCUCAACUGUUUGCCAAGAUGGAGAAUGAAGUAAGAAUUGUUUGAUGUAUGAUGU